rfam:Anopheles atroparvus strain EBRO unplaced genomic scaffold supercont1.37, whole genome shotgun sequence.
AAAACGGCUCUUUUCAGAGCCAACCGAGUUAACAAAAUCACCAGUGU